AAUGUAAAUUUAACAAAGGUUGCGAAGUAAAGUUUGAUUGCUUGAAGGUGACGAAAAAUACUCGAACAAUUCACAUGUUUUCAAGCAUGAAGAGAAAAUAACACACGAUUGCCUAACAAGAGGCGCACUUCGCGUGGACUGUCUCGAGCAACGAGUGAAGGUAGUGAAGAGAUUUAUGCUCAGUUCACAAAAAAAAAGAUAAGUUUGCAAGGAGAAAAGUUACCUACAUUAUUUUUUUCUCCUUGUUUAUAGCUAAGACCUAUCGGUCCAUAAAGCAAGUUACAUUAUUGUCUAAGAUGAAAAAUUGCCUUAGUUUAUUGGCGAUAUUUGCAAUUCGAGUGUGUAUGCACCUAGCAUUUCGCAGUCACGAAAAAAAGGUUCACCCUUUCUGGCAUCGCAGUUGCUGCGAAUGAUUCAUGAUCGUAGCAACCGUUGACAUUGUGAUAUUUUUUUCACAACUUUCAAGAUGUGAGAAAAAUUGUCUAGGAAAACUUAUCGUUCUGGUGCAGAUUCGGACAGAGAGAAUUACCUUUCGGAUGUAAGUUGCUGUGAAGCUGGCCGCAAGACGCUUUCCUUUCUAAGUAUCUACGAGCAUCUUGUCGAGUGUGACGCGAUGGCUGACUGCUUGUGAUUUCUGCAAUCCAUCGGAGUACAAUGGAUACAAAAACCACAGAACUUUUAAGGUUCAUAUCGAGGCCUUUCAACCAAGCAAAUACCGCCGCAAAACGACAUAUAGCAGAAGUGCUUUUUCAGCAAAUUGGGCGCUUCCGGAAACAAAAAUGAAACGUGAAUCCUAACUGCAGAUGAUUUUCAGUAGGGUGAAAAAUCUAUCGCUCUGCGUGAUUUGGCAAUUUCGGACACUCCAUCACUACGUGGUAGUAGACGAUCUCGUGAACAUCGACGUAAAAGUUCCCGGCGCAACUUUGGCUCGCGAGCUCAACUAAUUCCAACAUGAGUAACCAAGCGAACGCAAACUGAAAGAUACAACCUACUUGCUGGAUUUUAUUCAUCCCGAUUUCCUACUGCUUCAAAUAGUUGCGAGGAAUUUUAUCUUGUGGGACAAUCCCAACUACAGGCAUGUAAUUUCAACAAGGAUAAUUAGAGUAUCUAAGCAAGCUGCGCCACAGGAUCUAGUCUUGGAUGAUCUGUUGUACCCGCUCUAUCUAUUCGUGUUUCAUUGGGAAUCUUGAAAGGAAGGUAGCUAUGAUGUCGCAUACGAUCAAUUCGUUCAGCCAGGCCGCUAUUUGGAACCCAAACCUACAGUGAUUACAAGAGCGUCAAUAAGGGUGUCGGCUGUUAGCUAUCGAAGAUCAGUUAGCGGAUCUGUUCAAUGCACUAGAAAUUGUUGAUCGAUUUUGCGCCAUACGCUAAGAAAUAGAUCGAGGAGAAAAUCUACAUCGUGGUAAAGCAAGCGGCUUUACGAAUUAGAAGAUGGCUGAAGUUGGAGCUGGGUCGCGCGAGUUAGGUAACAGAUAACCAAAAAGAAUAAAAAAUACAAGUGUACAAUGUGACCACAGUGCAAAAAAGAUGGAUAGAACGACAGAAAACAGAGAGAUUUUAUUCUCCAUCCAACCAAAAAUCGCCAAAGCGCUACAUUCGGAAUGUGACUGCUGCCAAAAGUCGGUCUGAAAUCUGGCCGGGUUGGAAGUUUCCGGAAGAGAUAGAGAUAGACUCGGACAGCGGAGGAGGGAGAGGGAACGGUUGGAAGAACUCGGAGCGGUCGCAGAACCAGGUGGAAUUCCUGCCGGAUGACUAGCAGAACCGUUUCCGGAAGAGAUUGCUGGAGGAAGAGGAGAGAGAACGGUUGGCGGAACUCGGCCCGGUCGCAGAACUGGUUUGAGGGCUGCUGGAUGACAUCGGUAAAAAUCGUCGAAAAUGCGGAAUCGGAUAAAAUUAUAAU